UGACAUCUCCGUAUGUCAUGCCCUUGGCUUA
rnacentral:sRNA from 1 species